UACAGAGGGUGCAAGCGUUGUUCGGAAUUAUUGGGCGUAAAGGGCGCGUAGGCGGUGCGGUAAGUCUGCGGUGAAAUCUCCCGGCUCAACUGGGGAAGUGGUGCCGAAACGACCCGUCUGGAGGGACGUAGGGGGACCUGGAACUUCCGGUGGAGCGGUGAAAUGCGUUGAGAUCGGAAGGAACGCCCGUGGCGAAAGCGCUCUACUGGACUGCAACUGACACUCAGGGACGAAAGCUAGGGGAGCGAAUGGG
rnacentral:rRNA from 1 species